rnacentral:tRNA from 1 species
UGGUCCAUGAAGGGAUCGAACCCACGACCUUCGCAUUAUCAGCACGAUGCUCUAACCAACUGAGCUAAUGGGCC